AUUGAACGCUGGCGGCAGGCCUAACACAUGCAAGUCGAGCGGAUGAAGGGAGCUCGCUCCUGGCUUCAGCUGCGGACGGGUGAGUAAUGCCUAGGAAUCUGCCUGGUAGUGGGGGCUAACGUCCGGACACGGGCGCUAAUACCGCAUACGUCCUGAGGGUGAAAGUGGGGGAUCUUCGGACCUCGCGCUAUCAGAUGAGCCUAGGUCGCAUUAGCUAGUUGGUGGGGUAAAGGCCUACCAAGGCGACGAUCCGUAACUGGUCUGAGAGGAUGAUCAGUCACACUGGAACUGAGACACGGUCCAGACUCCUACGGGAGGCAGCAGUGGGGAAUAUUGGACAAUGGGCGAAAGCCUGACCCAGCAAUGCCGCGUGUGUGAAGAAGGUCUUCGGAUUGUAAAGCACUGUAAGUUGGGAGGAAGGGCAGUAAGUUAAUACCUUGCUGUCUUGACGUUACCAACAGAAUAAGCACCGGCUAACUUCGUG
rnacentral:rRNA from 1 species